UUGCUCACUUCGGCAGCACAUAUACUAAAAUCGUAAUGAUACAGAGAACAUUAGCAUGGCCCCUGUGCAAGGAUGACAUACAAAUUCGUGGGGCGUUCCAUAUUUUA
ensembl:snRNA U6 U6 spliceosomal RNA